AUCCAGCUGACGAGUCCCAAAUAGGACGAAAAGCGAAUCCUUGAU
rfam:Schistosoma rodhaini strain Burundi genome assembly, scaffold: SROB_scaffold0005455